rnacentral:tRNA from 3 species
GGGCUUGAAGUGUAACGGUUUUGCAUGUCUCCCUGUCACGGAGAAGGCAGCGGGUUCGACUCCCGUCAGGCCCGCCA